GGGAGGAAAAGAAACUAACAAGGAUUUUCUUAGUAGCGGCGAGCGAAAAGAAAAUAGUUCAGCACUAAGUCACUUUGUCUUUAUGGCAAAUGUGAGAUGCAGUGUAUGGAAUGUCAAAUUUCUAGUAUGAGAAAUUAACGAUUUAAGUCCUUCUUAAAUGAGGCCAUUUACCCAAAGAGGGUGCCAGGCCCGUAUAACGUUAAUGAUUACUAGAUGGCAUUUCCAAAGAGUCGUGUUGCUUGAUAGUGCAGCACUAAGUGGGUGGUAAACUCCAUCUAAAACUAAAUAUAACCAUGAGACCGAUAGUAAACAAGUACCGUGAGGGAAAGUUGAAAAGAACUCUGAAUAGAGAGUUAAAUAGUACGUGAAACUGCUUAGAGGUUAAGCCCGAUGAACCUGAAUAUCCGUUAUGGAAAAUUCAUCAUUAUGAUUUUAAUAUUUAUAAUAUUAUAAUAAUGGUGUGCAUUUUUUCUAUAAAGGACAUUGUAAUCUAUUAACUUUACAUUAUUUAUCAUAAGAUCAUUAGAUUAUGUUUAUUCAAAUUAUUUUGCUUGCAAUUUAAUAUCGAAUAAAUUCUUUUGAUUUGAUAAAGCGUUGAUAGAUUUAUUAUAUACAGUGCUUAAAUAUUUAUAUUUUAUAAUAUCAUAUUAAUCAAUGAUUUUUAUGUUCAUUAUAUGCACUUGUAUGAUUAACAAUGCGAAAGAUUCAGGAUACCUUCGGGACCCGUCUUGAAACACGGACCAAGGAGUCUAACAUAUUUGCAAGUUAUUGGGAAUAAAAACCUAAUAGCGAAAUUAACAUAACUUUAAUGGGAUUAGUUUUUAGCCUAUUUAUAGUCUAUUAAUUCAAUCCCGGGGCGUUCUAUACAGUUAUGUAUAAUAAUAUUUAUAUUAUUUAUACCUCUAACUAGAGCGUACCUUGAGCAUAUAUGCUGUGACCCGAAAGAUGGUGAACUAUACUUGAUCAGGUUGAAGUCAGGGGAAACCCUGAUGGAAGACCGAAACAG
rnacentral:rRNA from 1 species